rnacentral:rRNA from 1 species
GUGGGGAAUAUUGGACAAUGGGGGCAACCCUGAUCCAGCCAUGCCGCGUGUGUGAAGAAGGCCUUUUGGUUGUAAAGCACUUUAAGCGAGGAGGAGGCUUACCUGGAUAAUACCUGGGAUAAGUGGACGUUACUCGCAGAAUAAGCACCGGCUAACUCUGUGCCAGCAGCCGCGGUAAUACAGAGGGUGCGAGCGUUAAUCGGAUUUACUGGGCGUAAAGCGUGCGUAGGCGGCUGAUUAAGUCGGAUGUGAAAUCCCUGAGCUUAACUUAGGAAUUGCAUUCGAUACUGGUCAGCUAGAGUAUGGGAGAGGAUGGUAGAAUUCCAGGUGUAGCGGUGAAAUGCGUAGAGAUCUGGAGGAAUACCGAUGGCGAAGGCAGCCAUCUGGCCUAAUACUGACGCUGAGGUACGAAAGCAUGGGGAGCAAACAGG